UUUAACUAGCCAUGAGAGAUUAGGUAAAAUCAUUGUUUAACAAGCCAUGAGAGAUCAGGCAAAAUCAAUGUUUAACAAGCCAUGAGAGAUCAGGUAAAAUCAUUGUUUAACAAGCCAUGAGAGAUCAGGUAAAAUCAUUGUUUAACAAGCCAUGAGAGAUCAGGCAAAAUCAAUGUUUAACAAGCCAUGAGAGAUCAGGUAAAAUCAUUGUUUAACAAGCCAUGAAUGAUCAGGUAAAAUCAUUGUUUAACAAGCCAUGAGAGAUCAGGUAAAAUCAUUGUUUAACAAGCCAUGAGAGAUCAGGUAAAAUCAUUGUUUAACAAGCCAUGAGAGAUCAGGUAAAAUCAUUGUUUAACAAGCCA